rnacentral:piRNA from 1 species
UGAUUAUUGACAGUUGAUAGACAAGGAAUU